rnacentral:rRNA from 1 species
GGACCACCCUCCAAGGCUAAAUACUACCUAGUGACCGAUAGCGUAUAGUACCGUGAGGGAAAGGUGAAAAGAACCCCGGGAGGGGAGCGAAAUAGAACCUGAAACCCUGCACUUACAAGCUGUGGAAUCACAUUUCUUGUGUGACCGCGUACUUUUUGUAGAACGGGCCAACGAGUUACGUUAAGUAGCAAGGUUAAGCACUUAAGGUGUGGAGC